GACAUGGUACGGAAAACGCUGGAUAUCACGAUGCGAUUGCAUACAAAACGACCCAAAUGACAAAUGACAAGACGGUAUACGACGCUCUUAAUACUGGAAACGAUUGCCCCAACACAUCACACGUGUACACGUCGUUGGACAAUUCAGCAUCCAUUGCAGACUACGAGAAUGUCAAAAAAAAGGAUCCCGUUUACAACAAUGCUGAAAUAUCCAGUGCAGACUGUAUAUAGUAAAACUAUCUGAUUUCCAUGAACUGAGAUGGUGUAAUUAUUCUUCACUAAACUUUUAAAUAUUUUCACGUGAUUUUUGUUAAAGCUGAUCGCCGGAUCGUUAGGAGACCAACAUUGAUAAACGAUGUGUAUAAUAUGGUAUGCAGUAACCAAUACAACAGCAUCCACCGCCAUAUAGUUUAAGUAGACGUAGAUCUUCUUCAACUUCAUUACACUCCUCUUUAUAUGAACUAAGGCACUGAAUCUACGGUCUUGAAAUAUUAUUGCUGGAAACGUUAUAAUAAAUUAUGCUUAAUACGUCAAGUGAGACAUAGAAGGAGUGAAAGGUAAAUGUUUGUUCUAUCUUUAUGUAAUUUGGAAGGCUUUGACGUCAUUUAAAAUGAUUUAAGAUGACCACAGUGGACAAAUUAAUUAAUAGAUACACAAGACAUGAACAAUAAUAUUGUUUUGUAAUUUCUAGCAUUACACGUGUAUGACAACCAUACAUUUCCGUCAAUUUACGUUCCAACCCAAUUCAUUAAAACAAUAAAGGUAUGUCGCGUUUCUCCUUAGAAAAUUUACUCACUUUGAAAUGCUGCACAAAUAAUUUUUCAAGGCAUCCAUGUUACAUUAGAUUGGAUGAUAGAAAAGUUCUAGUUCAGCAAAAAUAUAAAAUCUCUCAGAUAUUUAUGGGUUUUUUUUCUCUUUGAGUAAGGGUGUUAGACUUAAAUUAAAGUAUAACAAACAAUGUGUAUCACUUAGCUUAGACUAAAACAACAUAUCGAUCUGAAGUGGCAUUCUUAAUCGUAAAUACAGAUACGGCAUCCUGGACCACAUCCUGGUACUUAACGUUAAGUGAACACGUACAUUUAGGUAAUCCCGUCCAUACUUUUUUAAAAAUACACAAACACAUUCGAUCAGUCCUUCAUACACCCAAAAUAGCUCAAUAUGAUGUAGUCGACUCAUUCUCGUUUUUAAAAUCGAAAAAGCGAAAGUUAUGAAAAUCAGUAAAUGGAAUAUUGUGUUUACCAGACAAAAUUCAUGCAUUUAAUAGUGAUAACCUUUUAGUGAAAUGUGAUAGAUUUCUUGCCACAAUGACACAUUUUAAACAAAGCAGUUUGGUCCCUAUAAGUUAACCCGUCCCAGCAUUUUGUGUCACUUUUGACUGAUCCUACAUAUAUAUGCAUACAUCAGAAGUUAGCUCCAUCUGAUAGUCUGUGUCAGGUUUUCAAAUCUCACUGAAUGCCAUCUAAGCGCAUUUUUUGCCCAAAAUGCUAUUACGAGGUUUUUCAACUGGAUCUAGAAUCGAAUGGUAUAUAAAGCAUCAAAUGGUUCAGUUCUACACAUCUUUGCACACAUUUCACAAGCAAUUUCCCUAUACAUUUAUAUGCAAACAACCCACACUCCAGCCAGAAUUUUUUUUAAUCCAAUUAAAAGCAAAUUGAUUUAAACACAAAAGCUUUGCAUUUUUCUAAUUAAAAUUACUAACUGAAUUUUGUAAAGUAAAUUUCUCAAUGAAUCUAUGUUUUAAAUAGGCCGGAAGACAGCCAAGUUCUAUUGCAGCCCAAAAUAUUAAUCACUGAGAUAUUAAUGAAUUCAUUCUCUCUGAGUGCAGGUAUUUGACUGAAUUUAAAGUAUAAUAACUAUAAGUUCACUUUAUAAAGACUAAUACAAAACAUCACUAUAAAGAAGCAUUCUCAAUGUUAAUUAUCUGGUGCUCAAUUGAAAGAUUGACAACAAUGUUUGUUUGCAAAACUCUUGUAGAUUAAUGACGUUAUAAGUAAACACAGAUACAAACCAUAUUUUUCUGCACCAUUGAAGCCCAAUAUUCUAUAUUUAAAACUAUAGCAAUACAUUAUUAGAGCUAUAGUUGUCAUCUACGGAAAUACAGAAUAUGUAACAAACAUAAACGUAUUUUUAUCACAAGCAUUAUCAUAUUUUAAGAUAACGAUAAUAAUUGCACAGAAGAUUUUUACAAAAAAAAUAAAUAAAUCAAAUUUAGGAAUAUCAUGGGCAAACAUUUACUCAUCUACUUAUAUAAUUGAAACAAAAACAUUCCUAAAGUUUUGAAAAGAUUAUUUAUUGCACAUGCUCAAUGAAGUAUAUGUAGCUAAGAAACUCUGACACUAUAUUUGAAAUAUCUGAGUGAUAAUAAAUUACAUUCUUAGUUAUUUAUUGUCAAUAACAUAAUUCAUGUCGAUAUAGAUCAUCUGUAUGUUGCAUGAGGACAAAACCAGUUGCAAUAACUGUUGUUGCGAAAGGUCAACUAUGAAAACAUUUUUCACAUCUAUUACAUAUGGUGGGAAACACUAUUGUUUGAAUAAGUUCAUGUUAAAAUCUCCAUAACCUUUUAAAGUAUGAAUCUGAUUUCCUAUCAAAAAAUAUUUGAGUGCAAUGGUAUUUAAUGACUCAGCUAUUUUUGCAUUAUUGUUUAUGUGUACAUGCAUGUUAGAUUUAAAAGCUGUAAGUAACAGUUCGUAUGCACAAUGUUCAGGCAAAUUAGUCAAGCGCCAAUUUCUUUAUUUUUAUGUAAACCUUUUACAAAUAUAAAAAUAACUCACUUAUUAUGUACGAUUCAUUAUUAUAUUAUUAGACAACGAUUGUCUUUGCAACAAUAUAAGGAAAUGAGACUAUGCUGACGAAAUAUGUACAAUUGAUACUAAGAUGAAUUACUGCCUUUGCCAAUAUUUAUUUGCUUGUUUUUUGCCCUAAAUUUGUCAAAUAUUUGCAAUUCCAAACACCUACACACAUGAAGAUUUUUGUUUAUAAUGAUAAAUAAGGUACCCAAACAAAGGUCCGAAUUUGCAAUUAAAAUCAUCAACAUAUAAAUGAAGUUAUUAGACAGAAAUCAAAACUUUAUCCCUGAACUAUGACUGAAAAUAAAUCCAAUACGCGGUUGCUUUGAUAUAAAUUGUACUUAAGACUAACAAAAUGUUAUGUUUGUUUCUGGUUGAUAUUUGAUAAAUAUUACAUCAAAAGACAUAAAUACAAAGGUGGUAUCUCUUUUCAUGAAAUCUUUGUAUCACAUUGAACAACUCUAUAUGUUAACAAUUGUGAAAGUGGAGGAAUUAAAACGUUUAAAUUGUUUCAAAUGGUGUGAUGCAAUAUUUCAAGGAACACUUGCAGACUGGACAAAAGAGAAUACAACUUAAUGCUGAGCACUUCUUUUGACAAUACAUAAUUAUAUUAUUUAUAGUUCGCCUUAUACUGGAAACUUCAACAGUUUAAACAGCAUACUGAACACUUUCUAUCUCUCAAUGUCCCUCGAGACACUUGAAGACAGACUUCGUACGGGAACAAUUUCAUUAUGUUAUAAUUCAUGAACGGAUGUGUAAUAGUUCUAACAUUUUUGUAAUUUAUUUAACAUUAAAGAUGUAUAAUCGG